UACGAAGGGGGCUAGCGUUGCUCGGAAUCACUGGGCGUAAAGGGAGCGUAGGCGGGUCUUUAAGUCAGGGGUGAAAUCCUGGAGCUCAACUCCAGAACUGCCUUUGAUACUGAGGAUCUUGAGUUCGGGAGAGGUGAGUGGAACUGCGAGUGUAGAGGUGAAAUUCGUAGAUAUUCGCAAGAACACCAGUGGCGAAGGCGGCUCACUGGCCCGAUACUGACGCUGAGGCACGAAAGCGUGGGGAGCAAACAGG
rnacentral:rRNA from 1 species